AUUUAGAGGAAGUAAAAGUCGUAACAAGGUUUCCGUAGGUGAACCUGCGGAAGGAUCAUUAACGAGUUAGGGUCUCCAAGGCCCGACCUCCCAACCCUUUGUUUACCAAACCAUUUUGUUGCUUCGGCGAGCCCGUCUUCACGGACCGCCGGGGGACCCCUAACAGAGUCUCCUGGCCCGCGCUCGCCGGUGGCCCCGAUCAAAUUCUUAACUAAACGUGUUUUGACUGAGUACCAAUUUAUUAAAUUAAAAGCAAAACUUUCAACAACGGAUCUCUUGGUUCUGGCAUCGAUGAAGAACGCAGCGAAAUGCGAUAAGUAAUGCGAAUUGCAGAAUUCCAGUGAGUCAUCGAAUCUUUGAACGCACAUUGCGCCCUUUGGUAUUCCGAAGGGCAUGCCUGUUCGAGCGUCAUUAUCACCCCUCAAGCCCCCGGGCUUGGUGUUGGACGGUUUGGUGGAGGCCCCCCUCGUCGGGGUCGCUGCCCCUCCCAAAGACAAUGACGGCGGCCUCGUUGGACCCCCGGUACACUGAGUUCUUCACGGGACACGUACUGGACACAAGGGUGCGCGGGGCACGGUCUGCCUCCCCUCUAGGGAGAAUUAUCUCAAGGUGACCUCGGAUCAGGUAGGGAUACCCGCUGAACUUAAGCAUAUCAAUAAGCGGAGGAAAAGAAACCAACAGGG
rnacentral:rRNA from 1 species